UACGGGGGGGGCAAGCGUUGUUCGGAAUUACUGGGCGUAAAGGGCUCGUAGGCGGCCAACUAAGUCGGAUGUGAAAUCCCCGGGCUUAACCUGGGAACUGCAUCCGAUACUGGAUGGCUUGAAUCCGGGAGAGGGAUGCAGAAUUCCAGGUGUAGCGGUGAAAUGCGUAGAUAUCUGGAGGAAUACCGGUGGCGAAGGCGGCAUCCUGGACCGGCAUUGACGCUGAUGAGCGAAAGCUAGGGGAGCAAACGGG
rnacentral:rRNA from 1 species